GAUGAACGCUGGCGGCGUGCCUAAUACAUGCAAGUCGAGCGAAUGGAUUAAGAGCUUGCUCUUAUGAAGUUAGCGGCGGACGGGUGAGUAACACGUGGGUAACCUGCCCAUAAGACUGGGAUAACUCCAGGAAACCGGGGCUAAUACCGGAUAACAUUUUGAACCGCAUGGUUCGAAAUUGAAAGGCGGCUUCGGCUGUCACUUAUGGAUGGACCCGCGUCGCAUUAGCUAGUUGGUGAGGUAACGGCUCACCAAGGCAACGAUGCGUAGCCGACCUGAGAGGGUGGUCGGCCACACUGGGACGGAGACACGGCCAAGACUCCUACGGGAGGCAGCAGUAGGGAAUCUUCCGGAAAGGACGAAAGACUGACGGAGCAACGCCGCGUGAGGGAUGAAGGCUUUCGGGUCGUAAAACUCUGUUGUUAGGGAAGAACAAGUGCUAGUUGAAUAAGCUGGCACCUUGACGGUACCUAACCAGAAAGCCACGGCUAACUACGUGCCAGCCGCCGCAGUAA
rnacentral:rRNA from 1 species